rnacentral:rRNA from 1 species
GCAGCCGCGGUAAUACGUAUGGUGCAAGCGUUAUCCGGAUUUACUGGGUGUAAAGGGAGCGUAGACGGUUAUGUAAGUCUGAAGUGAAAGCCCGGGGCUCAACCCCGGGACUGCUUUGGAAACUAUGUAACUAGAGUGUCGGAGAGGUAAGCGGAAUUCCUAGUGUAGCGGUGAAAUGCGUAGAUAUUAGGAGGAACACCAGUGGCGAAGGCGGCUUACUGGACGAUAACUGACGUUGAGGCUCGAAAGCGUGGGGAGCAAACAGGAUUAGAUACCCC